rnacentral:rRNA from 1 species
AUGUUUCAUUUAUUGAUGAUUAUAGUAAAUUUGUGUGGAUUUAUCUCCUCGAGAGAAAGUCUGAUGUGCUUGAUGUAUUUUGUGACUUUCUUGCCCAUGUUGAAUGCCUCCUAUCUCGCAAAAUCUUAUGUGUUCAAUCAGACUGGGGUGAGGAAUACGAAAAACUUAGCAACACCUUUUUUCGGCAACUUGGCAUUGCCCACCACGUCUCUUGUCCACACACACCAACAGAAUGGCUCGGCCGAAAGGAAGCACCGUCACAUUGUUGACAUGGGUCUCUCUCUAUUAUCGCAUGUGUCUAUGCCUCUUCGUUUUUGGGAUGAGGCGUACUUGUCUGCAUGUUAUCUUAUCAACCGACUACCCAGUCGUGUCAUUGGCAAUCUUAUUUCUAUGGAAAAAUUAUUUUCCACCAAACCAGACUACGACUCUCUCUUUGCAUGUUUGAGUGUGCAUGUUGGCCCAACUUGCGCCCCUACAAUACCCAUAAACUUGCUUUUAGAUCCCAACAAUGUGUGUUUGUUGGGUACAACAUCUGACACAAAGGCUAUAAAUGUCUUCAUGUACCUACAGCUCGUAUAUAUAUAUCAAGUGAUGUUGUCUUUGAUGAGAAAUUUUUUCUUUUUGCCAAUUACCAAACCUCUCCAAUUCCACCUCAAGUUGCUGAACAUGCUAUUCUUUUAUUUCCACAUGACCACAUGA